rnacentral:rRNA from 1 species
GGGUAAACCUGAGAAACCCGAAAAUUCGAAUGGGGAGAUUCAUCGUCAGUGGAGCUGGCUUCGCGGUGGUUGGCGAUGUCUGGGACUUCGGUUUCAUGGCACGUCGCCGCUGUGUAUGUCUGGUAACGCCGUCGUGCACUUCUCCCCUAGUAGGACGUCGCGACCCGCUGGGUGUUGGACUACGGCCUGGAUGGUAGCCUGUUCCGUCGCUUCGGCGUUCGGGGCAGACCUCCGGUGUGUCUCUCCUGUCCAACUGCUCGGCGGUAUUGUGCGAGAGUAGUCGGCCGCAAUUCAAUUGUUGUGCUAACAUAAAUUGCGUCAUUGGCCCGUGGCAAACCAGGUCAGUGCUCCGGUGGGCGUCCGUCAGAGCCGUCCCUGGGCCUGUCCAGUUGUUGGCUAUCGGUGUUCUCUGACUGGCCAUUUUACUUGUUUGCGACGCUAUUGCUUUGGGUACUCUCAGGACCCGUCUUGAAACACGGACCAAGGAGUCUAACAUGUGCGCGAGUCAUUGGGAUAACAAAACCUAAAGGCGAAAUGAAAGUGAAUGUUGACCUUGCGUCGACAGAGGGAGGAUGGAUAGGCAUACGCCUGCCUCGCACUCCCGGGGCGUCUCGUUCUCAUUGCGAGAAGAGGCGCACCUAGAGCGUACACGUUGGGACCCGAAAGAUGGUGAACUAUGCCUGGUGAGGACGAAGUCAGGGGAAACCCUGAUGGAGGUCCGUAGCGAUUCUGACGUGCAAAUCGAUCGUCGGAACUGGGUAUAGGGGCGAAAGACUAAUCGAACCAUCUAGUAGCUGGUUCCCUCCGAAGUUUCCCUCAGGAUAGCUGGCACUCGAACGAACACUUCGAACGUUUAUACAGUCUCAUCUGGUCAAGCGAAUGAUUAGAGGCCUUGGGGCCGAAAC